CAAGAAGUGAAACAGCAGACAGAAUUGCAAACGAAAACAAGAGGCUCCAGAAAGAUGAAAAACCCGCACACACCUGUCUCUGAAGGUCUUAGAAGGACCUGAAGAAAUGAGAUUUUCCUCAUCAUCAAAGUGUGGGAGCCCUUUGAAGGAUGGGCAAUGGCUGCUGAGAAGAAUUCAGACUGGAGCUGUGGUCUAGAUGCAGCAACUGAGGAUAAUCAAAUAAAUGUGCUAUGUUGGACACUGUGACGGGAAGAAGAUGGAAGAGAGAGGAUGUGAGCAUGUAUAUUUGAAGACGAGGGAAAGAGUGGCUGUGGCAGAAAAAUCAACUCGUACACUGAGUGAGUCAUGUGCAGUUUUCCGGAGUACACAGACUCUUCACCUAUGGUUGGAUUCCCAGGGGACCAUGGUUCCUAAGGUAAGGAUUCCUAGUGGAGGGUUGUGGAGCUCACCUAUCCCAGCCCUUGGGAAGCUGAGGCAGGAGGAUUGCUGCGAGUUCGAGGCCAACCUGGGCUACAUAGUGAGUUCAAGUCCAGUCUGAAUUGCGUAGUGAGAACUUGUUGCAAAAUGACCAAAGUGUGUGGGGGGGAAGAAUUCCUGAUGCAAGCAGUCCCUAAAGUACAGAAACUAUUGGUGUCGAGAGCCAUCUAGCAUGUUCACAGAGCCAGGAACUCUGGGAGUUUUAGAAGCAGAAGCCAUGUUUUCUCUGGAGUUCCUAGCUCUGCUGUGGGCUGAUCUGGAAGGCUGUAAGGGCCAGCUUUAGUGCUAAAGCAGUGGGUGUUGCGUUAUGCACCUGCAUUUACCCCCCCCCCCCACACUUGGCCGGAGUGAGUGAUGUACUUCUGCGGGGAACUCAUAUUUUUAAAAUUUCCACUGGCGACUCCGCUGCCUGUGACGUGUCCCCCAGUGCCUCAGGAUGUCAUUUUCGGGCGUCCCCUCCGCCCUUGGCACAGACUCCCACAGGCCCCCGACGAACUCGGAUGGAUCUUCGCCCUGGCCAGGAGCCCAGCCUAAGAGCCAGCCCGGACAGCGCUGCCCCUCCCCUCCAAGCGACAGCAUUGUGAAGACUGGAGAGCAAAACGGGUCGCCCACAAGGAAACUCCAGAAAGCGGGCAGUCAGAAGUGCUGCAGGGAGCACUUCCGGCACAGCCUCUGCGGGCGGUCAGAGGUGCGGGCGGUCAGAGGUGCGGCCUGGGGUCGCCGGCGGACUGUUCCCAUGCUUGUGAGUGUCGGGUUGUAGGAGUGGAGCAGCUUCUAGGAGUAGUGACUGGGUUGGUAUGACAGCCAGGGCUCUCACCUUUGAACCUCAAGUGAGUCCCUCCCUGAGGACCAAGCUGGGAGACCCAAGAAACACACUGGGCACCGCCCCUCUCUUGGCCGCUCCCACUUGAAUCAAGGCCACCAAGACCCUUUUCUCACCUGGAAAGGGCAAUCAGGCAGAUCUGAAGAUGGCCGUGCUGCUAGAGGAAAGUCUGCACGCCGCAGACUCAGCAGCACCACCCGCUUCACAGACCUCUGUACCUCCCAGGAAGUCUCUUACCGCCAACAGUUUCUCACCUCCUCUGUCUGGGUAUCGGGUCAGUCUCUUCAGAAAUAAACCGUGAAUGGUGUUUGUGACAGAGAAGUAUUCUAGGGAAUGUGUGGGGAGAGCACCGUCCUGGUUCCCUUGAUUCACUAUACAAAAUCAAACUGCUUAUAUCUGUUAGGAGGGCCAUGAUCAGAGAUGGAAGACAUGUUGGUGAGAAUGUGGAGGAAAGGGAACCCUUGCACGCUGUUGGUGGACUGUAGAUUAAUGGAGCCCUAUGGAAAACAGUACUGAGGAUCCUUAGAAAAUUAAAAAUAGAGCUAAGCAUAGUGGCACAUGCCCAUAAUCCCAGCAGUCUGGGUGGCUCAGGCAGGAGGGUCACAAGGUCAAGCUUAUCCUGGGCAAUUUAUCAACUUAGUGAGACCCCCAUCUCACAAUAAAAAAUAAAAAGAAG
ensembl:lncRNA